UUUCCCCAGCCUGGAAGUCCUUAAACAGAAUCCCGUCAAGACCACAAAACAGCUCUUCAAGUUUAACAUUAACCAAAUUCCCAUUGCUAACAUUGGCAUUUAUGGUGUCCAUAUUGAUGCCCUGUGUCAUGGAAUCCCAUCCUACACUGCUGAUGCAAACCAAGUGGAUAAGUUUUAUGAAGAUGAUUGCAACACCAGCAGCAUUGUCACCAUUCUAGGCAUCAGUUUCUGUUUUUAAUCCAGUAUGGCACGCUUCAUAGCAAAUCCAU